GACGUGUUUGCAUUCGUCAGUUUUGAGCGUUUCGAGGCUCUGGGAUCUUUGGCUUUUGGACUUCUGGGCUCCCAGGGUUCUAGAUCUCUGGACUUUUGGAUUUUUAGGUUCUUAGGCUCUCCUGGACUUUUAGAUUUUUAGAUUCUUAGAGUCCUGCGUUUCUAGGUUUUCCAAUUUUUAGAUAUCCAGGUUCUUGGGCACCUAGACUUUUAGAUUUCUAGGUCCUUACUCGUAGACUUUUAGAUUCCUGGGCUCUUGGACUCCUGCAUUUGUAGAUUUUCAGAUUUUUAGAUUUUUAGAUUUUUAGAUUUUUAGGCUCCUAGACUUUUAGAUUUCUAGGUUCUUACACUCCCAGAUUUGUGGAUUUUUAGAUUCCUAGGUUCCUAGACUUUCAGAUUUCUAGGUUCCCAAUGCUCCUGCAUUUCUAGUCUUCCAAAUUUUUGGAUUCUUAGACUCCCGGUAUCCUGAGCUUCUGGACCCCUAAGUUUCCACACUCCUAAGCUUCUGAACUCCUAGGAAUUCUGAAUUACUGUAAUCUUCUGGAUUUCCACACUUUUGGAUAUUACAAUUUUCAAACCACCAGGUUCUCACGCCUCCUGACUUUCGGACACCUAGUCUCCUACUCUCCCAAACUCCUGCCCUUCCAGAUUCUCGGGGUCCCCGAGUAUCCACAACUCCAAAGUCCAUCCAUCGCUAUUUUUAUCCUCGAUAAAAAUUCUCGAUGAAAUACACCGAUCCGUCGCGUCCGAUGUCCACGAUGACAACUGACGUCUCCUCCCGUUUCACGCGUCCCGAUGAAUUCUUCUUUCUCGACGAAUUCAGCAAAAUUGUUAUCAUCGAGUGAGCCCGUCCUCUCUGUCCUCUACAGAGCUAUCCGGUUACCGGAUGUCUUCCAAACGGUGUAUUAUUCCAGUGUGUGUGUUAUUCCGAAAUGGUUGACCGAUGCCGGCGUUAUCGAAUCGGUACGCGGGGACCGGUGAUCCUCGCUUCGAGCGAUAAACAAACCGCAAUGUUGCUCGGCUGGUGUCGCGGUGACAACUGAAGUCUCCGGUUUCGCGCGUCCCAACGAGGCUCCCGAUACCCCACCAAAGAGUUGUGUUCACCAAAGUCGGGGCACCAGGUGUCGGCGGGCCUCAAAUCGCGCGGAGAGCCGCGCAGGUGACGCCGUCCGCCAGGAAUGCUUCCACGAAAACGACCCAAAGAAACGCGUACCUUUUUCUUCCCUCCGUAGCCUUUUUCGUUUUCUUUUUUCUUUUCGACCGAUCCAAGCGGUAUUCCCCGGACUCGACGAGUCAAGAAAGUUUCCGCGCUGGUAACCGCGACGAACUACGUCUGGAGGGGGAGGAAACAAGUUUCGAAACACGUCGAAGGGAAAAUAAAUAGUGGCGUGAAUUUUUGGGUGAGCGAAUAUCGAGGUAAUUUGGUCGCAUUAGUUCUGGGAGGUUUUGACAGAAGCAUGAGAUUUUUUGUGAAUUUUUGGAUUAGUGAAGAUUAAGGUAAUUUGAUCGAAUUCAUUUUUGGUGGUUUAGAUAGAAGGAUGACAUUUUUUUGUGAAUUUUUAUAUAGGCAAAAAUUGAGGUAAUUUGGUCGAAUUAAUUUUUGGGGGUUUAGAUAGAAGGAUGACAUUCUUUUGUGAAUUUUUAUAUAAGCAAAAAUUGAGGUAAUUUGGUCGUAUUAAUUUUGGGCG